rnacentral:rRNA from 1 species
UGCCAGCAGCCGCGGUAAUACAGAGGGUGCGAGCGUUAAUCGGAAUUACUGGGCGUAGAGCGAGCGUAGGUGGUUGAUUAAGUCAGCUGUGAAAUCCCCGGGCUUAACCUGGGAAAGUCAGCUGAUACUGGUUAACUAGAGUAUGUGAGAGGAAAGUAGAAUUCCAGGUGUAGCGGUGAAAUGCGUAGAGAUCUGGAGGAAUACCGAUGGCGAAGGCAGCUUUCUGGCAUAAUACUGACACUGAGGUUCGAAAGCGUGGGUAGCAAACAGGAUUAGAUA